rnacentral:ncRNA from 1 species
GCCUCUGGAGAAUCCUGCGCGCCGUUAGCGAUCGCAGGUGCCGAAGGGGCAAGGCGCGCCGCCUCGCGCGACGUCGCCGAAACUCUCAGGCAAAAGGACAGAGCGA